UAGGGAAUCUUCGGCAAUGGACGAAAGUCUGACCGAGCAGCGCCGCGUGAGUGAAGAAGGUUUUCGGAUCGUAAAACUCUGUUGGUAGAGAAGAACGUUGGUGAGAGUGGAAAGCUCAUCAAGUGACGGUAACUACCCAGAAAGGGACGGCUAACUACGUGCCAG
rnacentral:rRNA from 1 species